ensembl:antisense Chrna1os cholinergic receptor, nicotinic, alpha polypeptide 1 (muscle), opposite strand
GCUAUCCACAAGCGGAAACACCAAGCAAAACAGCCUAGGACUCCCCUCAGAAGGGUCUCAGCAAAAGUCCAGCUCAGCUCCUGACAUUGUGCGGCAUGAAGUCCGGAGGAACUGAACAGUCGGAGAGCUGGCUGCAAUGAAUUUGACGAUGGCUUGCACUACAUCAGGAUGCAGAAGAAGAUAUAGAAGAGCCUACCUAGACUUCUCAAGAAAGUUUCCUGAAAGCAAUAUUUUCCUUUGUCGUACUAGUCUCAAGGAUGCUGGUCUCAUCUUCCUACUGUGUGGCCUGUAAUCACCUCUAUCUACAGCACCACUCUCUAUGAGUCCCUUCUGUGUGCUGGCCUUUGUCACAGUCUGGGUCACAGUGGUGAUUCCCAGCAGUGAAGGGGUGGGGUGUCUGGAGCCUUUGUAUAAACACAGUAGUCUGCUGGGAGCAUUGAUGAUUAUUGUUGAUGAUGAGGAGAAAAAAAAAUGAAGUUAACCAUUUGUUUAA